rnacentral:lncRNA from 10 species
UGACUUUGAACAGUACAGCGUGAGUGGUGGCCUUUAGAGUUCUGCCGUGUGGAAGGCCUGGAUUGAGGACAGGGAAAAAACAGAUAAGCUUCAUGAUUGAAAGCCUUUCCGGAAAGCUACCCUUUUCUUUACCAAAGCAUGAAGUUCAAUCAGAAAUGAGAACUCCCAACUUCCAAUCUGGUAACAUAUUUUGGUGAGCCAGCCAGGAGGGUCAAGCCUGCAAUACCUAAAGCUCCAGACCUGGAACCCAAAGCUCCCAUCAGUCGCUACCCUGUGAACCUGUGGAGGAUCUGAAGUACCUGUUUAAAAGGCAUCCAAAA